rnacentral:rRNA from 1 species
GUAAGGAAUAUUGGACAAUGGACGCAAGUCUGAUCCAGCCAUGCCGCGUGAAGGAUUAAGGUCCUCUGGAUUGUAAACUUCUUUUAUAAGGGACGAAAAAAGGCUUUUCUAAGUCGUCUGACGGUACCUUAUGAAUAAGCACCGGCUAACUCCGUGCCAGCAGCCGCGGUAAUACGGAGGGUGCAAGCGUUAUCCGGAUUCACUGGGUUUAAAGGGUGCGUAGGCGGGCAGGUAAGUCAGUGGUGAAAUCCUAGAGCUUAGCUCUAGAACUGCCAUUGAUACUAUCUGUCUUGAAUAUUGUGGAGGUAAGCGGAAUAUGUCAUGUAGCGGUGAAAUGCUUAGAUAUGACAUAGAACACCUAUUGCGAAGGCAGCUUACUACGCAUAUAUUGACGCUGAGGCACGAAAGCGUGGGGAUCAAACAGGAUUAGAUACCCCAGUAGUCC